rnacentral:rRNA from 1 species
CCUACGGGAGGCAGCAGUGAGGAAUAUUGGUCAAUGGGCGGGAGCCUGAACCAGCCAAGUCGCGUGAGGGAAGACGGUCCUAUGGAUUGUAAACCUCUUUAGGCGGGGAGCAAUGCCGGGCACGUGUGCCCGGAGGGAGAGUACCCGCAGAAUAAGCAUCGGCUAACUCCGUGCCAGCAGCCGCGGUAAUACGGAGGAUGCGAGCGUUAUCCGGAUUUAUGGGGUUUAAAGGGUGCGUAGGCGGAUUUUUAAGUCAGCGGUAAAAUGUCCGGGCUCAACCCGGGCCGGCCGUUGAAACUGGGGAUCUUGAGUGGGCGAGAACUAUGCGGAAUGCGUGGUGUAGCGGUGAAAUGCAUAGAUAUCACGCAGAACUCCGAUUGCGAAGGCAGCAUACCGGCGCCCGACUGACGCUGAGGCACGAAAGCGUGGGGAUCGAACAGGAUUAGAUACCCGUGUAGUC